rnacentral:rRNA from 1 species
AUAUAACUAAGCGGAGGAAAAGAAACUAACAAGGAUUCCCUCAGUAACGGCGAGUGAAGCGGGAAGAGCUCAGACUGAAAAUCUUCGGAAUUGUAGUCUGUCGACGCGAAGUCAGUCCGAUGCCCGGGUAAACUCUCCUGCGAACGGAGGGCCAUGGAGGGUGAUAGCCCCGUUUAUGCCUGGGAGGUAGGACGUACGACUAGCGUUCAACGAGUCGAGUUGUUUGGGACUGCAGCUCUAAGUGGGUGGUAAAUUCCAUCUAAAGCUAAAUAUUGGUGGGAGACCGAUAGCGCACAAGUA